UCCUACGGGUGGCAGCAGUGGGGAAUUUUGCACAAUGGGCGAAAGCCUGAUGCAGCAACGCCGCGUGUGUGAUGAAGGUCUUCGGAUCGUAAAGCACUUUCGACCGGGACGAACAAGCCUGGCCACACCAGGCCCUGACGGUACCGGGAGAAGAAGCACCGGCUAACUCUGUGCCAGCAGCCGCGGUAAUACAGAGGGUGCAAGCGUUGUUCGGAAUUAUUGGGCGUAAAGCGCGUGUAGGCGGCUUAGCAAGUCGGGCGUGAAAGCCCUCGGCUCAACCGAGGAAGUGCACCCGAAACUGCUGAGCUUGAGUGCCGGAGAGGAUGGCGGAAUACCCCAAGUAGAGGUGAAAUUCGUAGAUAUGGGGUGGAACACCGGUGGCGAAGGCGGCCAUCUGGACGGUAACUGACGCUGAGACGCGAAAGCGUGGGGAGCAAACAGGAUUAGAUACCCUGGUAGUCUGG
rnacentral:rRNA from 1 species